rnacentral:rRNA from 1 species
UACACUCCUGCGGGAGGCAGCAGUGGGGAAUAUUGGACAAUGGGGGCAACCCUGAUCCAGCCAUGCCGCGUGAGUGAUGAAGGCCCUAGGGUUGUAAAGCUCUUUUGUGCGGGAAGAUAAUGACGGUACCGCAAGAAUAAGCCCCGGCUAACUUCGUGCCAGCAGCCGCGGUAAUACGAAGGGGGCUAGCGUUGCUCGGAAUCACUGGGCGUAAAGGGUGCGUAGGCGGGUCUUUAAGUCAGGGGUGAAAUCCUGGAGCUCAACUCCAGAACUGCCUUUGAUACUGAGGAUCUUGAGUCCGGAAGAGGUGAGUGGAACUGCGAGUGUAGAGGUGAAAUUCGUAGAUAUUCGCAAGAACACCAGUGGCGAAGGCGGCUCACUGGUCCGGUACUGACGCUGAGGCACGAAAGCGUGGGGAGCAAACAGGAUUAGAUACCCCUGUAGUCCC